CUGUAAUCUCAGAGUCCUGUAAUCCACUCCUCCUCUUCUCCUCCUCCUACGCCAAGUUCCUACACAGAGGAGGAGGAGGAGAGCAGGAGUGGAUUACAGGACUCUGAGAUUACAU
rnacentral:miRNA from 1 species